GUAAGGUAAAGUCGUAACAAAGGUUUCCGUAGGUGAACCUGCGGGAAGGAUCAUUG
rnacentral:rRNA from 1 species